UACGGAGGGUGCAAGCGUUAUCCGGAUUCACUGGGUUUAAAGGGUGCGUAGGCGGGCAAGUAAGUCAGUGGUGAAAUCUCCGGGCUUAACUCGGAACUGCCGUUGAUACUAUUUGUCUUGAAUAUCAUGGAGGUAAGCGGAAUAUGUCAUGUAGCGGUGAAAUGCUUAGAUAUGACAUAGAACACCGAUAGCGAAGGCAGCUUACUACAUGUUCAUUGACGCUGAGGCACGAAAGCGUGGGGAGCAAACAGG
rnacentral:rRNA from 1 species